GAACUUAGCUCAGUCAGUUAAGAGCAUGGUGCUGAUAACACUAAGGUCAUGGGUUCGAUCCCUGUUCAGUCCU
rnacentral:tRNA from 1 species